rnacentral:rRNA from 1 species
UUGCGCUCUGGGACGCGGCCGAGUGUCGGAUUAGCUAGUUGGUGGGUAAAGGCCUACCAAGGCGACGAUCCGUAGCGGGUCUGAGAGGAUGAUCCGCCACACUGGGACUGAGACACGGCCCAGACUCCUACGGGAGGCAGCAGUGGGGAAUUUUGGACAAUGGGCGGAAGCCUGAUCCAGCCAUGCCGCGUGAGUGAAGAAGGCCUUCGGGUUGUAAAGCUCUUUCGGCGGGGAAGAAAUUGCACGGGUUAAUACCCUGUGUAGAUGACGGUACCCGAAUAAGAAGCACCGGCUAACUACGUGCCAGCAGCCGCGGUAAUACGUAGGGUGCGAGCGUUAAUCGGAAUUACUGGGCGUAAAGCGUGCGCAGGCGGUUUGGUAAGUCAGAUGUGAAAAUCCCCGGGGCUCAACCUGGGAACUGCAUUUGAGACUGCCAGGCUGGAGUUUGGCAGAGGGGGGUGGAAUUCCACGUGUAGCAGUGAAAUGCGUAGAGAUGUGGAGGAACACCGAUGGCGAAGGC